CUACGGGCGGCUGCAGCUGAGGAAAUUUUACAAUGCACGCAAGUGUGAUAAAAUAAGCCAGAGUGAUUCUCUUAGAGAAUCUUUUGUCUGCUGUAAAAAGGCAGACGAAUAAGGACUGGGCAAGACCGGUGCCAGCCGCCGCGGUAAUACCGGCGGUCCAAGUUGCAUCCACAUUUAUUGGGUCUAAAACAUUCGUAGCUUGUUUUGUAAGUCUCUUGUGAAAUCUCAUGUCUCAAACAUGAGGCGGGCAAGAGAUACUGCAUUACUAGAGACCGGAAGAUGUAAAGAGUAUGUUUGAGGUAACGGUAAAAUGUGUUAAUCUUGAACAGACUAACAAUGGCGAAGGCACUUUACAAGUACGGAUCUGACAGUGAGGGAUGAAGGCUAGGGUCGCGAAAGGGAUUAGAUACCCGCGUAGUC
rnacentral:rRNA from 1 species